CUAUCCUACGAUCUCUCAAAGACGCCCCAGCCCCCAAUACGAGCCGCCGCCGAGAUCCAAGACGAGCCGCCGCCGAGGACCGAGUGGAGCCGCCGCCGGCGCUGGCCAGGCUCCCCACGAUGUGCGCGCCGGGGCGCCGCUCCCGCUCCCGCAGCCGAGCAUAGCAGCAGCAGCGGAGCCCCGCCGCCGGCGAGCUCUCUCUGGCGGAGGAGGGCGGGGGCGAGCUCGCCGUCUCCCUCGCGCUCAACAAUCUCUUCUCCCACGCUGUCGCCCGCUUCACGGCCUACUUCGGCCUCAUGCCGCCAUGCCUCCACUGCUCCCGCAUCGACUGGCUCUUCGGCGCGGAGGACGUCCAUCAGGCGGCGGGUGAGAUCUCCGGGAUGGGCUACUGCCUCCACCAUCACCGCCUCUUUCGUUGCUGCCGCCGCCGACAUGUGCAAGGGAUGCCUGUCUUCUUCAAAGAACGAGAUGAAUGAAGGAUGCAGAGGAGACAGGCUCCAUGGCGUGUUCCUGCUGUAAAGCUCUCGACCUCUCGUACAGGUACACGUUUCUUCUUCACGCGAGUUUGAGAACACACAUACUACCGCGAGCCGGAGAUCCAUCCACCCAGUUAUGGAUCCAUCAGGUACAAGCCACUAGCCACCAGGUAAUAGAGAUUUCCCCUCUAAUUUAGUUGGAUUUGGGGAGGCUAGAGAGGCUUGCUUGUUGUUGUGUUUUCUGCGUGAGAGAGCAGAGAGAACUGAGAGAUCACAUGGAUCCAGUGUACAGAUGAGCUUUUGGUGUGGGGGUGGUGGUGGUGGAGGUAGCAGGGCGAGAGGAUGGUCACUAGAUGGAAGAGUGCAGGGAAUGUUGCUUGCUACUGCUACUGCGUGUGCUAUUGUGUUAUUUUGUAAUAUUUCUGAACUGUUAGCGAUAUUGCCGCAGUGAGAUGAGCUUAUUUUGUAAUAUAUGGUCUUUUCGAGUGCAUUGCAAAACUAACUAAUAGUUUGUGAUCUGACACCCUGGUAACCUCAUGAUUGGGUGGUGCAUGCAGGGCACACCUCCGAGCUAGCCGAUGCUUAGUAUACCAGUGUUCUACUGCAUCCGGUGCGACCUCAAAGAAUACCUUCGUCUAGCUGGCCAUUGAGCACCUUAGGGACGACGAGGUGCAGUGUCUGGGGUGUAAGCAGUUCAACUACACGAUGAAGUGAGUGAAGGGGUUAAGACGGUUGCGUUGUGCGUGCGCUGCUUGCUUGCUGUCAACUUGUUGGACAACUGUACACGUAUGUGUUUUUUCAAGCCCACUUAUUUCAGCCUCUCCGUCUCCUUCAAGCCCGAUGAGAAGUUCAGGGAUAUUCCUGGGAGUGCCUAUUAUGUGGCUCCGGAGGUGCUGAAGCAGAGAUAUGGAGCCGAUAAUUGCAUAUGGAGUGCUGGAGUUAUACUCUACAUUCUGCUGUCUGGCAUUCCUCCUUUUUGGGCAGCAGGGCAGGUGCGUUCUCUGGCUGGUUAUGUCAAUCAAUUUUGGGGCUGUGAUGGAUGCAAAGACUGGAAGAUCCUCCUGUGAAGCAUAAAUUUCAUUGUAUCCAAGGAGAUAUCUAAUGCUGAAAACAUGGGACUCAAAAUGUAUAGAGAGUCGGAGACACUGCUAAACUGUCAUUUAUGGGUGUCUACCAAAUUCACUAUCAACCACUGUUGUAGGACCGGCGGUUGGGAGGAUGUAGACUAAGAGCUAUAUAUGAUGAUUCUACAAAAGAUAAUGUACUGGAAGACAUGAGAACUUUUAGGAUGCUACAGCGUAAAAAUAUUUGGAAGAUGGUAUGGUUUGCCGGACCGGAACCAAAGCAAGAACGAGAAGGAGCUUAAGUAGGGCCAUGUCGGGGUGUCGCCACAAUAGGAAAUUGUCGCUGGUGCUAAAUACCAGGGGAACCAAAAAAUCUUUUUUCUACAAAGGUAACGAACUUUUUGGGUCUAAUUGAACUAUAAAUUAUUGCUUAUAUAGAGGGACCAAGUUGAGCAGGCCAUCAACAUCCUAUUCUUGCUUAUCUUUGUUUUCUUUGUAUCUGUAUUAUUAAUCUUGCUUUCAACUGGCGUGUUGAGUGCAAUCUUCCGGGUGCAAUCCUCAAAUAUGGGAUGCCGUACUAGCCUUAAAUCAACAUCUGGAUUGGCUUAUGAUGGCAUGGAGUUCCAUCAUUUCGGCUGCUUGCGGCGGGGAGUGUGGCCGGUGCUUGCGGCAGCAGCGAAGCGGCGUGCGCGAGCGCAGUGUAGGCAGUGGCCAAAGGCUCAUCGGCCGCUGCGAGUACGCCGUUGGCACCAGGUUCAUGACAUUGUAAAAAAAAUCUUGAUUCAAAAUAAAUGAACCCUUUCCUAUAUACAAUCAGCUUUUUAUUGAAGGUUGCAUUUGAUGGUUUAUUGGUUCGUCUGUGUUUCUAAUUAACUUUAUUAAUUUUUAGGGUGGAAGAGCUUUUGAAUUUAGAUGGUAGUCGGAGGAGUGGGCCAGGUACUUAGCAAAAGGUUUAGCUGCUUUUUUAGAACAGAGAUGGAGCAUGAGUUACCUACAAGAUCCAACACAGAACGUGAAGUACUGUGAUUAAGUCCAAGAAGGGAAAAAUGCUAGAGAGGGACCAGCCAAAGGGUGAAUAUCUUGUGCUCUACAUACUUACCAAUGGCCGCAGUUAACAAUUUGGGCCUAAUAUUGGACAUGAACUUAAACAAUUUACACUGUUUUUUAGGCUGAUUGUUGCUAUGAAGAAUGGAAUGGCCAUGCUAUCGAUAGAGAACACUCUCGGAAGUUGGAUCUCUCUUUUUGUGCUAUUAUUGCUGAAAUUAAGAGGUUCAUUACAAGGAAUUGUCAGAUUUUGUGUACCUUGUAAUAGUGACACGCAUGGAGGUGUGAAUUGAGUAAUAUUGAUACUAUUUAGUAAUGGAUGGUAUAUGUUCUUUGGUGGCGA